rnacentral:rRNA from 1 species
GUAGUUUGAUCUUGGCUCAGAUUGAACGCUGGCGGCAUGCCUUACACAUGCAAGCCGAACGGCAGCACGGGAGCUUGCUCCUGGUGGCGAGUGGCGAACGGGUGAGUAAUGCAUCGGGAACGUAUCCUGGAGUGGGGGAUAACGUAGCGAAAGUUACGCUAGUACCGCAUAUUCUGUGAGCAGGAAAGCGGGGGGACCUUCGGGCCUCGCGCUCUUGGAGCGGCCGAUGUCGGAUUAGCUAGUUGGUGAGGUAAAGGCUCACCAAGGCGACGAUCCGUAGCAGGUCUGAGAGGAUGAUCUGCCACACUGGAACUGAGACACGGUCCAGACUCCUACGGGAGGCAGCAGUGGGGAAUUUUGGACAAUGGGGGCAACCCUGAUCCAGCCAUGCCGCGUGAGUAGAAGAAGGCCUGG